GCACUAGUCGAGAAGGGCACGCGAUAAAACACGUGCAUACCGCUCUGCGCACGAUAGUGAAGGGCGUGCCAUACGUCACGAGCAAUGUGUCACGUGCUCAUCUUUUUGAAUUUCCCGCCACUCGUUCGCUUGUAACGACCGUAAAGACGAUGAAGCGAUUACGGCCCCGGGUCAUUCGAGAUGAUGGUUGGUUAAGAGCGUGCUAUGCGGUGAAGUUCAUUUUUAAGAGUGAGGGUGUUGCACGUAAAGUGAUAAAAACUUUGUAUUGUAAGAGACUUUGUAAGAGUAUUGUGGGACUUUCAUCAAAUACCAUCUGGAAACUUUUGACGCCAUUUAGGAAGGCUUUGGACAAUUUUUAAUUGAAGGAAUUUUUUUUUUCAAUCUAACUUUGAAGUCAACCUCACUUUUGUUUAUCUAUAUGUAGAAUUCCUACUCCUGGUGCGGCAAAAAAAAGUUUUUCUUCACGCCAAGCCCCACAGAGCGUUAUCUUUCGCUAUUUCUAUCCGUUCCCGAAAACCGCGCCUCUAUGCGAGUGGCGGAUACAAAGUGGUGGGGGCGAUCGCCCCCCAAAACGUCAGUUUAUACAUUGGAUUUCCCACUCCCCGUCCCCCACUAUGCGCUCCGAGAAAGAAACCGCCCCCCCCCCCCCCCCAAACCAAGGGUCUGGAUCCGCCCCUGCCUCUAUGACAAAAAUAACCCUCAAGCUUCCGUCGUCGUGGAACGCCGUUCUCAUUCCGACUGCUCUUUCUGGCUGUUCUCUUUCAGCUCUCGUGACGUAUGCCGUGAACAUAUCUGUAAAACAAUGCGUCAGUUCUCCAAAUUACGUCUGCGCUGCAGCAGACAAGACCUUUCCAUUGAGAGUGCUCCAGUACACCGGAGGCGAGUGGAAGAAUGGCCUGCAUAGUGCGCAGUAAGACAUCGCUAGUAAGACGGAAAUACUAUGCCGUUUGCAAUUUUAUGUUUGCGAGUGUCGAGGAGAACAUGGGCACCUGUACUCUGAGCAGACUUUACGGAGGACUGCGUCGCAGAAUCAAAUAUCAAGGAAGAAACCUUCACGUUGCCCGGCCAAGAUGUCGUCCACGGAUUCUAUAAAUGUGCGUCAGCGAGGUUGGGACACCUGAAUUCUUUUCGCCGCAGUGGACACUACGGCGGCUAUCCCUGUCAUCUGUAUAGCGAUCAUGGACUACACCAGUUUGAUCACGUCCAUUGCAUUGAACUAGAAAGUAUAGCCAGGGAAAUCGUAUCUAUGGAGUACUAUACUUGGCCGAGGUUCGUCGUUGGCACCCCAUCAUACGUCACCUGUAUGUAAAGGCCUAUGGUUCCGAAGACGACCGCUGGUUGGUGCACAUACGCGAUCUACCGUAUACCUUCGGAGGUUCGAGUACAUCUACAGGCUCUUACAGGAAGAUUAUAAUGCGCUCGUUGGCACAUCAUCAUUACGUCUCCUGUACGCAAAGGACCUACAGUUCUGACGACGUUCACGACCGCUGGUUGAUGCACAUGGGAUCCAUCGUACCUUUAUGUACACCUACAGGCUCUUACAGGACGAUUACAACCCGUUACUAUGGAGUUACUAUGGAGACGUGCCACUAUGUAGUUACUAUGGAGUUACUAUGGAGACGUGCCACAGUGAACUACGUGGGCUGGAAAGUGGUGAUGCAUUUUGGCGUUGAUGACCUUUCGGCACGUGUUUGAAGACCUCUAGAAGAUAGUCUUCGGCUAUCAUCAAUCCGACACGGCAUCCGACACCUGUGCCGAGCUCAUGGUUCUCCUCCAGCCCGUUCAAAGCGAUCACCUCGCAUACAAUCCGCUGUACGAUAAACUUCCUGCAAACCGUUCAUCACGGCCAGUACAAAACAUAUGUAACAUGUAAAUAAACGUCAAUAAACAUGAUUACCACGCGGCA